rnacentral:lncRNA from 1 species
GUGUGAUGUUUUUUAGUUAUUUUUAAGUGCUUUAAAAUAAAGUGUAACAAAAUAAGAUGGAUGGCGUUACAUUCUGUUGGACAGUGAGGCCAUGAGUCUUAGCAAGCUUUUAGUACAGUAAGGAGAGCUAUGAAAAGGCAGCAGUAAUUGAAAGUCAUUGUUCUUACCAGUUUCUUUUUCAGCUUGCAGUUUUCUUUAUAAACCAGUAUGACAGCUCUCUUAAAAACUAAAGGGAAUUUUAAAAAAGAAAAGAGACAAAGAAAAAGAAGAAAGGUCUUGUUAUUCUCUGCAAACUCUCCCCAGGUUAAAUUAGAGCUGGGUGCUUUCUGGGAACAAAGUCCUUGAAAUUCCACUGCAUUGACACCUGCUUUGCCCUGGUUAGGAAAGCAGGUCUUGGCAUUUGUUUAUCCAUUGUUGUAUUGACAGCUAAGGCCAGGGCAUCUAGGUCUCAGUGAGAACAUACUACCUACAUGCUCUCCCAGUUCUGGGUGAGAAGGAAGAGGAUUUGAAAUGUAGCACUGUUUAGACAACAGGUUUCUAAACCACCUCAUGAGGUGCUUCCCCUAGCAGCAUCUUCCCAACUCCCCAAAACCAGGAGUCAGCAAGAACAGCAGUGUUAGUCAAGCUUGUUACUGUUAACACUUCUGGAAGGAAUACCAACCAAAUACUGUGAGCUCAAUGUCCUUCCUGGCUUUUCCUAGAGACAGGAACGGAUUCAACCAGGAAACUGUAGAGUGCAUCAGAAGUUCCCCCAUGGACAGCUCUGUCACCUACAUUGUAAAAACAAAGAUGUGGAGACCAUGGAGAUUUUGAUGUUAGACAUAGAAUUGUACACAUGUGCUCACUGCUAAAAUGUACAUGCUCACUGUUUUAUUUAUAUAGUCUCCAUCAGCACAGUGUGAAGUGGUGGAAUGUCUGCAAAUGUGAGGCAAGCGUCAAGCUGCACCCCUAUUAUUAAUAUUAGUAAUAGAGAUGAUUUAUGCUUCCUGCCCGCUGGACCAGGGUUUUACCACUGAGCUACAUCCUUGGCCUGGGCCUCUUUUUACUUUUUGUUUUGAGACUGAGUCCGUCUAAAUUUCUUAGGCUGACCUUGAACUUACCCUAAAACCCAGGCAGGCUUUGAUACUGCAAUUCUGCAUCAGCCUCCCAAAUGGCUGGGACUGCAGCACUGUUUACUAAUAAUAGGAAGUGGUACGUUUUUUACUUAAGUGUGUAUGUUAGUACACACUUACAUAGGCGACAAUUCUGCCACAGAAGCCAUGCUCAUCUAAGGAGUCUGUUUACUUAGCGUUUACUUCAGGUUGAUAGACUACAUAGAGCUGCUAAUAAAAUACACCUAAUUGACCUAAAUU